rnacentral:rRNA from 1 species
GACGAACGCUGGCGGCGUGCUCAACACAUGCAAGUCGAGCGGUAAGGCCCUUUCGGGGGUACACGAGCGGCGAACGGGUGAGUAACACGUGGGUGACCUGCCCUCAGCCCUGGGAUAAGCCUGGGAAACUGGGUCUAAUACUGGAUAUGACUCCACGGUGCAUGUCGUGGGGUGGAAAGCCUUGUGCGGCUGAGGAUGGGCCCGCGGCCUAUCAGCUUGUUGGGGGGUGAUGGCCUACCAAGGCGACGACGGGUAGCCGACCUGAGAGGGCGACCGGCCACACUGGGACUGAGACACGGCCCAGACUCCUACGGGAGGCAGCAGUGGGGAAUCUUGCGCAAUGGGCGAAAGCCUGACGCAGCGACGCCGCGUGA